UGCAAGUCGAGGGGCAGCAUGAUUGAAGCUUGCUUCAAUUGAUGGCGACCGGCGCACGGGUGAGUAACGCGUAUCCAACCUUCCGCUUACUCGGGGAUAGCCUUUCGAAAGAAAGAUUAAUACCCGAUGGUAUGAUGAGAUUGCAUGAUAGCAUCAUUAAAGAUUUAUUGGUAAGCGAUGGGGAUGCGUUCCAUUAGGUAGUAGGCGGGGUAACGGCCCACCUAGCCGACGAUGGAUAGGGGUUCUGAGAGGAAGGUCCCCCACAUUGGAACUGAGACACGGUCCAAACUCCUACGGGAGGCAGCAGUGAGGAAUAUUGGUCAAUGGACGGGAGUCUGAACCAGCCAAGUAGCGUGAAGGAUGAAGGUCCUACGGAUUGUAAACUUCUUUUAUAAGGGAAUAAAACCUCCCACGUGUGGGAGCUUGUAUGUACCUUAUGAAUAAGCAUCGGCUAACUCCGUGCCAGCAGCCGCGGUAAUACGGAGGAUGCGAGCGUUAUCCGGAUUUAUUGGGUUUAAAGGGAGCGCAGACGGGUCGUUAAGUCAGCUGUGAAAGUUUGGGGCUCAACCUUAAAAUUGCAGUUGAUACUGGCGUCCUUGAGUGCGGUUGAGGUGUGCGGAAUUCGUGGUGUAGCGGUGAAAUGCUUAGAUAUCACGAAGAACUCCGAUUGCGAAGGCAGCACACUAAGCCGUAACUGACGUUCAUGCUCGAAAGUGUGGGUAUCAAACAGGAUUAGAUACCC
rnacentral:rRNA from 1 species